rnacentral:misc_RNA from 1 species
UUUCCGUUGGUGGACCAGCGGAGGGAUCAUUACAGAGUUGCAAAACUCCCAAACCAUUGUGAACGUUACCUAUCCCGUUGCUUCGGCGGGCGGCCCGGGCCCCGCGCCCGGCGCCCCCCGGCCCCCCGUGGGCGCCCGCCGGAGGUAAACCAAACCCUUGAAUUGCAUGGCCUCUCUGAGUCUUCUGUACUGAAUAAGUCAAAACUUUCAACAACGGAUCUCUUGGUUCUG